AGGGGCCUGAGAAAUGGCCACUACGUCUAAGGAUGGCAGCAGGCGCGCAAAUUACCCACUCUCAGAACGAGGAGGUAGUGACGAGAAAUAACAAGACCGUUCUCUUCAGAGGCCGGUCAUUGGAAUGGGUACAAUUUGAACCCUUUAACGAGUAUCUAUGAGAGGGCAAGUCUGGUGCCAGCAGCCGCGGUAAUUCCAGCUCUCAAAAUGCAUAGAAUCAUUGCUGCGGUUAAAAAGCUCGUAGUUGGAUCUGUGCUGGCGGGUCGGUCCACCUUCGGGUGCGCACUGAUUUCGCCGGCUUUCCUGCUGUAUUUGGCCCUGUGCCUUUCAACGGGUGCAGUGUCCAGUGCAGCAAGUUUACCUUGAACAAAUCAGAGUGCUUCAAACAGGCGUUUCGCUUGAAUGUUCGUGCAUGGAAUAAUAGAAGAGGAUUUCGGUUCUAUUUUAUUGGUUUUAUAGACUGAGAUAAUGGUUAACAGAGACUAACGGGGGCAUUAGUAUUGCUACGUGAGAGGUGAAAUUCUUGGACCGUAGCAAGACUGACUACAGCGAAAGCAUUUGCCAAGAAAGUCUUCAUUAAUCAAGAACGAAAGUCAGAGGUUCGAAGGCGAUCAGAUACCGCCCUAGUUCUGACCGUAAACGAUGCCAACUAGUGAUCCGCCGGUGGAACAUUCGCCCUGGUGGGGAACUUCCCGGAAACGAAAGUCUUCCGGUUCCGGGGGAAGUAUGGUUGCAAAGCUGAAACUUAAAGGAAUUGACGGAAGGGCACCACCAGGAGUGGAGCCUGCGGCUUAAUUUGACCCAACACGGGAAAACUCACCCGGCCCGGACACCGUAAGGAUUGACAGAUUGAUAGCUCUUUCAUGAUUCGGUGGAUGGUGGUGCAUGGCCGUUCUUAGUUCGUGGAGCGAUUUGUCUGGUUUAUUCCGAUAACGAGCGAGACUCUGGCCUACUAAAUAGUUUACACAUUGCUUCUGUGUGCAUAACUUCUUAGAGGGAUUUUCGGUGUUCAGCCGCAAGAAAUUGAGCAAUAACAGGUCUGUGAUGCCCUUAGAUGUCCGGGGCUGCACGCGCGCUACACUGGCAAAAUCAGCGUGCUUGUCCUUCCCCGAAAGGGGUUGGUAAACUCGUGAAAAUUUGCCGUGAUUGGGAUCGGAAAUUGCAAUUAUUUUCCGUGAACGAGGAAUUCCAAGUAAGUGCGAGUCAUCAACUCGCGUUGAUUACGUCCCUGCCCUUUGUACACACCGCCCGUCGCUGCCCGGGACUGAGCCGUUUCGAGAAACUUGGAGACCGCUGAUCUGGUAACUUCGAUUGCCAUUUUGGUGGGAACCAAUUUAAUCGCAGUGGCUUGAACCGGGCAAAAGUCGUAACAAGGUA
rnacentral:rRNA from 1 species